rnacentral:rRNA from 1 species
CUGAGUACGGCGGAACACGUGAAAUUCCGUCGGAAUCCGGGAGGACCAUCUCCCAAGGCUAAAUACUCCCUAGUGACCGAUAGUGAACCAGUACCGUGAGGGAAAGGUGAAAAGCACCCCGGAAGGGGAGUGAAACAGUUCCUGAAACCGUGUGCCUACAAGUAGUUAGAGCCCGUUAAUGGGUGAUAGCGUGCCUUUUGUAGAAUGAACCGGCGAGUUACGAUUUGUUGCAAGGUUAAGCGGAAAAAGCGGAGCCGUAGCGAAAGCGAGUCUGAAUAGGGCGCAUAAGUAACAGGUCGUAGACCCGAAACCAGGUGAUCUACCCAUGUCCAGGAUGAAGGUAAGGUAAUACUUACUGGAGGUCCGAACCCACGCACGUUGAAAAGUGCGGGGAUGAGGUGUGGGUAGCGGAGAAAUUCCAAUCGAACUUGGAGAUAGCUGGUUCUCUCCGAAAUAGCUUUAGGGCUAGCCUCGAGGUAAAGAGUCAUGGAGGUAGAGCACUGUUUGGACUAGGGGCCCUUCUCGGGUUACCGAAUUCAGAUAAACUCCGAAUGCCAUGUACUUAUACUCGGGAGUCAGACUGCGAGUGAUAAGAUCCGUAGUCGAAAGGGAAACAGCCCAGACCACCAGUUAAGGUCCCCAAAUAUAUGUUAAGUGGAAAAGGAUGUGGGGUUGCUUAGACAACCAGGAUGUUGGCUUAGAAGCAGCCACCAUUGAAAGAGUGCGUAAUAGCUCACUGGUCGAGUGACCCCGCGCCGAAAAUGUACCGGGGCUAAACAUAUUACCGAAACUGUGGAUGAACCUCUUUAGAGGUUCGUGGUAGGAGAGCGUUCUAAGGGCGGUGAAGUCAGACCGGAAGGACUGGUGGAGCGCUUAGAAGUGAGAAUGCCGGUAUGAGUAGCGAAAGAAGGGUGAGAAUCCCUUCCACCGAAUAUCUAAGGUUUCCUGAGGAAGGCUCGUCCGCUCAGGGUUAGUCGGGACCUAAGCCGAGGCCGAUAGGCGUAGGCGAUGGACAACAGGUAGAGAUUCCUGUACCAGUGCUAAUUGUUUAACCGAUGGGGUGACACAGAAGGAUAGGGAAUCGCACGA